GCGCACCAGGCGCGAAAACUUCACACUGUGCGAAAGCACGAUGAGGGAAUCCCAAGUGCUUGCACGUAAGUGUAAGCUGUUUCUCUGUCUAAAACGCAGAGAGAGUAAGGGCUGGGUAAGACGGGUGCCAGCCGCCGCGGUAAUACCUGCAGCUCAAGUGGUGACCGUUAUUAUUGGGCCUAAAACGUCCGUAGCCGGUUUAAUAAAUGCCUGGGUAAAUUGUGUAGCUUAACUAUACGAAUUCCGGGUAGACUGUUAAACUUGAGACCGGGAGAAGUUAGAGGUACUCCUGGGGUAGAGGUGGAAUUCUGUAAUCCUAGGGGGACCACCAGUGGCGAAGGCGUCUAACUAGAACGGGUCUGACGGUGAGGGACGAAGCCCUGGGGCGCAAACGGGAUUAGAUACCCGUGUAGU
rnacentral:rRNA from 1 species